CCUANGGGUGGCAGCAGUGGGGAAUUGUUCGCAAUGGGCGCAAGCCUGACGACGCAACGCCGCGUGGAGGAUGAAGGUCUUCGGAUUGUAAACUCCUGUUGCCCGGGACGAAAAGCUCCGACCUAACACGUCGGAGUCUGACGGUACCGGGUGAGGAAGCCCCGGCUAACUCUGUGCCAGCAGCCGCGGUAAUACAGAGGGGGCAAGCGUUGUUCGGAAUUACUGGGCGUAAAGGGCGCGUAGGCGGCCUUCUAAGUCGAACGUGAAAUCCCCGGGCUCAACCCGGGAACUGCGUCCGAGACUGGAAGGCUUGAAUCCGGGAGAGGGAUGUGGAAUUCCAGGUGUAGCGGUGAAAUGCGUAGAUAUCGGGAGGAACACCGGUGGCGAAGGCGACCUUCUGGACGGAUACUGACGCUGAGACGCGAAAGCGUGGGGAGCAAACAGGAUUAGAUACCCUANUANUC
rnacentral:rRNA from 1 species